AUAUUAUUGGGCCAGCUCUGGGUGGGUAGCUAUGGAAGCAGGAGGUACCGGUAUUUCACGUCAUCUGAUCCCAUAGCUACCCACCCAGAGCUGGCCC
rnacentral:miRNA from 1 species